rnacentral:rRNA from 1 species
CACCAGGUUGAUUCUGCCUGACGCAGAUGCUAGUCUCAAAGAUUUAGCCAUGCAUGUUAGUGAUAUGAACGGCGAACGGCUCAGUAAUGCUGCGAUUAUCUGCUCUCUUAGAAAAAAUAACCACGGGAAACAGUGGCUAAUAAGGAGAAUGAGACGCAGCCCUAUCAGCUUAUUGGUAGUGUAAAGGACUACCAAGGCUAUAACGGGUAACGGGGGACGGGGGUCUGAUACCGGAGAGGGCGCCUUAGAGAUGGCACCCACGUCCAUGGACGGCAGCAGGCGCGGAAAUUGCCCACUCUCUUUGGGAGGCAGUUAAGAGACGAAGGUAGGAUAAAAGAAUACUAGAUGAUUGGAGGGCAAGGCUGGUGCCAGCAGCCGCGG